CUACGGGUGGCUGCAGUGGGGAAUAUUGGACAAUGGGGGAAACCCUGAUCCAGCAAUGCCGCGUGUGUGAAGAAGGCCUGCGGGUUGUAAAGCACUUUCGGUUGGGAGGACUGCUUCUAGCACUAAUAUUGUUGGAAGUUGACGUUACCUUCAGAAGAAGCACCGGCUAACUCCGUGCCAGCAGCCGCGGUAAUACGGAGGGGUGCAAGCGUUAAUCGGAAUUACUGGGCGUAAAGCGCGCGUAGGCGGCUAGAUCAGUCGGGUGUGAAAGCCUCGGGCUUAACCUGGGAACUGCAUCCGAUACUGUCUAGCUUGAGUACAGGAGAGGGGAGUGGAAUUCCACAUGUAGCGGUGAAAUGCGUAGAUAUGUGGAGGAACACCAAUGGCGAAGGCAGCUCUCUGGCCUGAUACUGACGCUGAGGUGCGAAAGCGUGGGGAGCAAACAGGAUUAGAUACCCUUGUAGUC
rnacentral:rRNA from 1 species